GGGGCGAGAGAGCCAGAAGGAAAGAGAGGAGGCCGGCCCGGGGACGGAUAGGAGGGUGGGCUCCCUAAGAGUACAUCUGGCCUUCCAGUUUUUCCACUUUGGUGACUUCUACAUCCAUUCUUCCUCAGCCAUGCAUAGAAGUCAUGUCAGCCAGGAGAGAAUGCAAAUUUUCUUUCCAAAAUGGAGAAACUGCAGAAAUAAUUUACCAAAAGGAGAAGGAAAAGUAAGAAAGGCAAGUAUUAAUCGUGUUUGACAAAUUUUAAAAAAAAAUCUUCAAAGCCUUAUACUAUGUACCUUUUAUCAAAGCUCGUGGUGGCCUCUAUUUCUGCUUUCUAUAAUAUUCCAUAAUCCCCAUGUUGCUUCACAUUCUGCAUAAGAUUGCUGGGCUUGCUGACUUUUGUAUCCAGGGAAACCUGUGCUUUGAGCAUAAUAAAACUGCAGUGUUCUCUCUGUGUUGUUGAUUUGAUGAUUGACAGCGUAAUUUUUAUGUUAUCAUUCUGGAUUACAUUCACAUAAAUUAGGGUCUUUUCCAUCUUUUGACCUUUCCCAAGAAUCUAAAAAGGGCUUUUGGGGAAAAAAAUCAUACACACACAUAUACUUUUUCAGUUCUGUUGUAAAUUAGGGUUUCAAUAGGUUUUCACAAGUGGCAAAUAGGUUAGUUUGAGCAAUUCCCAAAGAAGUUAUUCUUUUAUUACUUGAAGAGACCCUUUCUAUGUGAGGAUGAGCUGAGUCAGUCAAUAAAAAUUUAUUUAAUACUUUAUUUAACACAAAAGACAAAAGAUAGCCCUAGUUCUCAAGGCCCUCAUAAAAUAA